UCCUCCUUUUCAUCUUCAAAGUUCCUUGAAAUCCAAUUAUCCAAAUACCCCUAGUCACCAUUUCCUGGUUUGAUUCCUCUCUUCUCAACUACUACUUCCUCCGGUUCCCAUAUUCUUUCUCUCAAUUUCCGGUGUUUUCUCUUUUACUUCGAUCAGAUGAAAAAGUUGUUUAAACUUGCAAAUCGAAGGAUUUCAUGAAGUUAGGACAAAAGGUUUCUAGCGAAGCUGGAAAAGGCUUUGAUGUGACAAAUUUCUGGUAGCUUCAUCAAUGUUUGAUUAUAUAUGCCCCACAGGCCUGUGUUGGUCAUGCCUUUUAUGAGGUCAAUGGCUGCAUCACUUGUAGUGUGUUCUCGUAUAGUAGGUCCAAUCCGAGUCCUCAUGUCAUACGUGAUACCAUAUUGGAUCUUUGUAAUGUGGUUGGAUAUGGUUACCUACUUGUAUCACCGCUGCCACGAGCAAAAGCUUCGUCGGCACAGAGGGGAGGAAUGUAGUUAUCUAAGUGGAGGGCUCACAAAAGUUGAUUGUGAUUAUGGGUGGAUUAACAACAUUCAUCACGACAUUGGAACUCACGUUAUCCAUCAUCUAUUCCACCCAGAUUUCACAUUAUCAUUUGGUAGAAACAACCAAGGCAUCUAAACAUGUACUUGGUAAGUAUUAAUAUCUAGUACCAAGUAGAUUUGCUGCAUUGUCAUUAGACACUAUUAUGUUUGUAGAUGUCUCAUAGAACAGCAUAUGUUUUGACUUCUGCAUCUUUUUAGCUCUUCUGAAGGAAGUUGUUAGAAAAAGUGGAGUGUAUGGACAACCAUAACAUUUCUCAUUUCAUCACUGUUGUGUAGGUGCUUUUUAAGUUUUGUUUUGGAUUUUGAUUUAAUUGGGUAAUUGUGGUUCUGUGAAGUGGAUUUUGUUAAUAGAGGUGAAUUAGUUUUUAUGUUUGUGUGAUUUAUGUUCAUAGCGACUCAAUCAAAAAUAUUGACUGUCUGAGUCAUUCUCUAGUUUUUGUUCGCUUUUACAGUAGAUUCACUCUCUGAAGUCAUGGUAGCUGCCCUGGUUUUCCAGCUUUAUGAAAAUGGAUGUUCUCUUAUCCUCCCUAUAGAUCUCAACUAAGUUUUUUUUUCGUUCUCAGCAAAAUAAGAUAUGGGUUUUGUUAAUCAGCAAUUCAUUUUCUUAAUCUAACCCCUUUUCUUAAUCUUCCGUCACUAACAUAUUCAUUAGCAGGUACUAAGAUCCCUGCCUUAAUUAGUGGCACCCAAUGAAAUUGUUAGUCCUUGGUAACUAGAAAUAAUUGGUUAGAUGUUUUUAUGUUCAAUGAUUCAGUGAAUUUGAGCUGAAUGAAAUUGUGUUUCAGUUGAUUCUAAUUGAAUGGUUAUCUUCAAUUUGACAAUUUUAAUAACCGUAUCCCUUUUCCUACUUAGAUGCAUCUCAAAUGAAUCAUGUAUCAGUGAAAGAAUUGCUUUGGAAGUUCUUAAUCCGUGUAUAAAUAUGUAGGUUUGAUUUACAAGUGUUUACUAUUAGAAUUUGCUAUGUAGAUUGUGAUUUCUUGAAAUGAAUACCGAAUUUUUAUAAUCAGAAUGAAGAGUUUUAGGUUUUGAAAGCUCAGGGUCUUUAUGAAAUUGUUGGUUUUAGGACUGAACUUUGUCGAUUCAGUGGUGCAAAGAUCUACCCUGGUAGGGGUAUUAGAUUUAUCAGGAGCGAUUCUCAGGUGUUCCUUUUUGUCAAACUCUAAAUGUAAGAGGUACUUCCGCAACAAGCUUAAGCCAGUAGGUGGUUCAUUAAGAAAAGCUUUUGAUGAAAUUUUUUUAAGACAAAUUGCUGGAUGUUAACAUUCUCUUGGGUCUGACAUUUGUUAAUUUGAAGUUGUGUUAUUUAUAAAACAAUUGUUAACAUAUGUAUGAACUCAUUGUUCAGGUACCAUGUAUUCUUCAAGUAAGCACUAGUUAAGUUUCUUAUCUAUUUGAGUUUUAAGUA